GUUCCGAUGGCCUAGUGGUUAGAGCGUUAGCCUCGGAGGCAGGAGGUAGCGGGUUCCAUCCCCGGUCGAGUCA